rnacentral:rRNA from 1 species
UGGGGAAUAUUGGACAAUGGGGGCAACCCUGAUCCAGCCAUGCCGCGUGAGUGAUGAAGGCCUUCGGGUUGUAAAGCUCUUUUGGCGGGGACGAUGAUGACGGUACCCGCAGAAUAAGCCCCGGCUAACUUCGUGCCAGCAGCCGCGGUAAGACGAAGGGGGCUAGCGUUGUUCGGAAUUACUGGGCGUAAAGCGCGUGUAGGCGGUUGUCCAAGUUGGAUGUGAAAGCCUUGAGCUUAACUCAAGAAAUGCAUUCAGGACUGGGUGACUAGAGGACCGGAGAGGAUAGUGGAAUUCCCAGUGUAGUGGUGAAAUACGUAGAGAUUGGGAAGAACACCAGUGGCGAAGGCGGCUAUCUGGACGGUUUCUGACGCUAAGACGCGAAAGCGUGGGGAGCAAACA